UGUAUUUGUUUAUAUCAUUCUCAUUCUUCGUACAAAAACGUAAGGAUAUAUUAUUCCUAUUUCUCUUUUUAGUGCGUUUUCUUUCCUUUUCAUUCUGAUCAUCUCCAUGAUGAGAACAUGCGCGUCAUCUGACUUUCCCUCAACUGCUUGCUGUGGGUUCUCCACAGUUUGUUUGCUUGAGAGGAUCUUGAAUGGUGAUUGCAUCGUCUGAAAUGGAUAGUGCUGAUUUGUUUGGGCAUUCUUCUUUUUACGUGCACGUAAAAUAUAUGUCUAUAUUUGUUUAUAUCAUUCUCAUUCUUCGUACAAAAACGUAAGGAUAUAUUAUUCCUAUUUCUCUUUUUAGUGCGUUUUCUUUCCUUUUCAUUCUGGUCAUCACCAUGAUGAGAACAUGCGCGUCAUCUGACUUUCCCUCAACUGCUUGCUGUGGGUUCUCCACAGUUUCUUUGCUUGAGAGGAUCUUGAAUGGUGAUUGCAUCGUCUGAUAUGGAUAGUGCUGAUUUGAUUGGACAUUCUUCUUUUUACGUACACGCAAAAUAUAUGUCUGUAUUUGUUUAUAUCAUUCUCAUUCUUCGUACAAAAACGUAAGGAUAUAUUAUUCCUAUUUCUCUUUUUAGUGCGUUUUCUUUCAUUUUCAUUCUGAUCAUCUCCAUGAUGAGAACAUGCGCGUCAUCUGACUCUCCCUCAACUGCUUGCUGUGGGUUCUCCACAGUUUGUUUGCUUGAGAGGAUCUUGAAUGGUGAUUGCAUCGUCUGAUAUGGAUAGUGCUGAUUUGUUUGGGCAUUCUUCUUUUUACGUGCACGUAAAAUAUAUGUCUAUAUUUGUUUAUAUCAUUCUCAUUCUUCGUACAAAAACGUAAGGAUAUAUUAUUCCUAUUUCUCUUUUUAGUGCGUUUUCUUUCAUUUUCAUUCUGAUCAUCUCCAUGAUGAGAACAUGCGCGUCAUCUGACUCUCCCUCAACUGCUUGCUGUGGGUUCUCCACAGUUUGUUUGCUUGAGAGGAUCUUGAAUGGUGAUUGCAUCGUCUGAUAUGGAUAGUGCUGAUUUGUUUGGGCAUUCUUCUUUUUACGUACACGUAAAAUAUAUGUCUAUAUUUACUUAUAUCAUUCUCAUUCUUCGUACAACUUUUUAGUGCUUUUUCUUUCCUUUUCAUUCUGAUCAUGUCCAUGAUGAGAACAUGCGCGUCAUCUGACUUUCCCUCAACUGCUUGCUGUGGGUUCUCCACAGUUUGUUUGCUUGAGAGGAUCUUGAAUGGUGAUUGCAUCGUCUGAUAUGGAUAGUGCUGAUUUGUUUGGGCAUUCUUCUUUUUACGUGCACGUAAAAUAUAUGUCUAUAUUUGUUUAUAUCAUUCUCAUUCUUCGUACAAAAACGUAAGGAUAUAUUAUUCCUAUUUCUCUUUUUAGUGCGUUUUCUUUCCUUUUCAUUCUGGUCAUCACCAUGAUGAGAACAUGCGCGUCAUCUGACUUUCCCUCAACUGCUUGCUGUGGGUUCUCCACAGUUUCUUUGCUUGAGAGGAUCUUGAAUGGUGAUUGCAUCGUCUGAUAUGGAUAGUGCUGAUUUGAUUGGACAUUCUUCUUUUUACGUACACGCAAAAUAUAUGUCUGUAUUUGUUUAUAUCAUUCUCAUUCUUCGUACAAAAACGUAAGGAUAUAUUAUUCCUAUUUCUCUUUUUAGUGCGUUUUCUUUCAUUUUCAUUCUGAUCAUCUCCAUGAUGAGAACAUGCGCGUCAUCUGACUCUCCCUCAACUGCUUGCUGUGGGUUCUCCACAGUUUGUUUGCUUGAGAGGAUCUUGAAUGGUGAUUGCAUCGUCUGAUAUGGAUAGUGCUGAUUUGUUUGGGCAUUCUUCUUUUUACGUGCACGUAAAAUAUAUGUCUAUAUUUGUUUAUAUCAUUCUCAUUCUUCGUACAAAAACGUAAGGAUAUAUUAUUCCUAUUUCUCUUUUUAGUGCGUUUUCUUUCCUUUUCAUUCUGGUCAUCACCAUGAUGAGAACAUGCGCGUCAUCUGACUCUCCCUCAACUGCUUGCUGUGGGUUCUCCACAGUUUGUUUGCUUGAGAGGAUCUUGAAUGGUGAUUGCAUCGUCUGAUAUGGAUUAUGCUCAUUUGUUUGUACAUUCUUCUUUUUACGUACACGUAAAAUAUAUGUCUAUAUUUGUUUAUAUCAUUCUCAUUCUUCGUACAACUUUUUAGUGCUUUUUCUUUCCUUUUCAUUCUGAUCAUCUCCAUGAUGAGAACAUGCGCGUCAUCUGACUCUCCCUCAACUGCUUGCUGUGGGUUCUCCACAGUUUGUUUGCUUGAGAGGAUCUUGAAUGGUGAUUGCAUCCUCUGAUAUGGAUAGGGCUGAUUUGUUUGGGCAUUCUUCUUUUUACGUGCACGUAAAAUAUAUGUCUAUAUUUGUUUAUAUCAUUCUCAUUCUUCGUACUAAAACGUAAGGAUAUAUUAUUCCUAUUUCUCUUUUUAGUGCGUUUUCUUUCCUUUUCAUUCUGGUCAUCACCAUGAUGAGAACAUGCGCGUCAUCUGACUCUCCCUCAACUGCUUGCUGUGGGUUCUCCACAGUUUGUUUGCUUGAGAGGAUCGUGAAUGGUGAUUGCAUCGUCUGAUAUGGAUUAUGCUCAUUUGUUUGUACAUUCUUCUUUUUACGUACACGUAAAAUAUAUGUCUAUAUUUGUUUAUAUCAUUCUCAUUCUUCGUACAACUUUUUAGUGCUUUUUCUUUCCUUUUCAUUCUGAUCAUCUCCAUGAUGAGAACAUGCGCGUCAUCUGACUCUCCCUCAACUGCUUGCUGUGGGUUCUCCACAGUUUGUUUGCUUGAGAGGAUCUUGAAUGGUGAUUGCAUCGUCUGAUAUGGAUAGUGCUGAUUUGUUUGGGCAUUCUUCUUUUUACGUGCACGUAAAAUAUAUGUCUAUAUUUGUUUAUAUCAUUCUCAUUCUUCGUACUAAAACGUAAGGAUAUAUUAUUCCUAUUUCUCUUUUUAGUGCGUUUUCUUUCCUUUUCAUUCUGGUCAUCACCAUGAUGAGAACAUGCGCGUCAUCUGACUCUCCCUCAACUGCUUGCUGUGGGUUCUCCACAGUUUGUUUGCUUGAGAGGAUCUUGAAUGGUGAUUGCAUCGUCUGAUAUGGAUAGUGCUGAUUUGUUUGGGCAUUCUUCUUUUUACGUGCACGUAAAAUAUAUGUCUAUAUUUGUUUAUAUCAUUCUCAUUCUUCGUACUAAAACGUAAGGAUAUAUUAUUCCUAUUUCUCUUUUUAGUGCGUUUUCUUUCCUUUUCAUUCUGGUCAUCACCAUGAUGAGAACAUGCGCGUCAUCUGACUCUCCCUCAACUGCUUGCUGUGGGUUCUCCACAGUUUGUUUGCUUGAGAGGAUCUUGAAUGGUGAUUGCAUCGUCUGAUAUGGAUAGUGCUGAUUUGUUUGGACAUUCUUCUUUUUUGUGCGUUUUCUUUCCUUUUCAUUCUGAUCAUCUCCAUGAUGAGAACAUGCGCGUCAUCUGACUUUCUCUCAACUGCUUGCUGUGGGUUCUCCACAGUUUGUUUGCUUGAGAGGAUCCUGAAUGAUGAUUGCAUCAUCUGAUAUGGAUUAUGCUCAUGUGUUUGGACAUUCUUCUUUUUCAGUCACAUAAAAUAUGUCUAUAUUUGUUA